rnacentral:lncRNA from 1 species
CCUCAACCUAAUCAGCAGAUGGUUUUAGAGACAUUCUGAGCAACUGUGUCACCCACAAAGAGACUCGCCUGUUGGAACAUCUCUAACUUUUAAGUAUUCUGGAAAUGUCACAAGCCUGGAGUUGAGCAGAAAGGAAGCACAUUACGAAGGAGCCAGCAGAUAACAAAUCUCCAACUUAGGAAGAAUUGCUUCUGGAAACUGCAGGCCAUGAGAUAAGGUUUAUUCCAUGGGAGCUGACUUUAUCCAACCACACACUCGAGUGAUGUAGUGAGCUCUAAAACUAGAUACCUGGAGGGAUUCUAAAG